rnacentral:rRNA from 1 species
CCUACGGGAGGCUGCAGUGGGGAAUAUUGGACAAUGGGGGGAACCCUGAUCCAGCCAUGCCGCGUGUGUGAAGAAGGCCCUCGGGUUGUAAAGCACUUUCAGUGAGGAAGAACGCCUGGUGGUUAAUACCCAUCAGGAAAGACAUCACUCACAGAAGAAGCACCGGCUAACUCCGUGCCAGCAGCCGCGGUAAUACGGAGGGUGCGAGCGUUAAUCGGAAUUACUGGGCGUAAAGCGCGCGUAGGUGGCUUGAUAAGCCGGUUGUGAAAGCCCCGGGCUCAACCUGGGAACGGCAUCCGGAACUGUCAAGCUAGAGUGCAGGAGAGGAAGGUAGAAUUCCCGGUGUAGCGGUGAAAUGCGUAGAGAUCGGGAGGAAUACCAGUGGCGAAGGCGGCCUUCUAGACUGACACUGACACUGAGGUGCGAAAGCGUGGGUAGCAAACAGGAUUAGAUACCCCUGUAGUC